rnacentral:tRNA from 6 species
GGUCCGGUAGUUCAGUUGGUUAGAAUACAAGCCUGUCACGCUUGGGGUCGCGAGUUCGAGUCUCGUCCGGAUCGCCA